CCUACGGGCGGCAGCAGUGGGGAAUAUUGCGCAAUGGGGGCAACCCUGACGCAGCCAUGCCGCGUGAAUGAAGAAGGCCUUCGGGUUGUAAAGUUCUUUCGGUGACGAGGAAGGCGUGAUGUUUAAUAGACAUCACGAUUGACGUUAAUCACAGAAGAAGCACCGGCUAACUCCGUGCCAGCAGCCGCGGUAAUACGGAGGGUGCGAGCGUUAAUCGGAAUAACUGGGCGUAAAGGGCACGCAGGCGGCUAUUUAAGUGAGGUGUGAAAUCCCCGGGCUUAACCUGGGAAUUGCAUUUCAGACUGGGUAGCUAGAGUACUUUAGGGAGGGGUAGAAUUCCACGUGUAGCGGUGAAAUGCGUAGAGAUGUGGAGGAAUACCGAAGGCGAAGGCAGCCCCUUGGGAAUGUACUGACGCUCAUGUGCGAAAGCGUGGGGAGCAAACAGGAUUAGAUACCCUAGUAGUC
rnacentral:rRNA from 1 species